rnacentral:rRNA from 1 species
ACGGAAGGCAGCAGUGGGGAAUAUUGGGCAAUGGGCGAAAGCCUGGCCCAGCAAUGCCGCGUGAAGGAAGAAGGUCUUCGGAUUGUAAACUUCUUUUAUGAGGGACGAAGGAUUUGACGGUACCUCAUGAAUAAGCCACGGCUAACUACGUGCCAGCAGCCGCGGUAAUACGUAGGUGGCAAGCGUUAUCCGGAUUUACUGGGUGUAAAGGGCGCGUAGGCGGGGAAGCAAGUCAGAUGUGAAAUCUAUGGGCUUAACUCAUAAACUGCAUUUGAAACUGUUUCUCUUGAGUGCUGGAGAGGUAGAUGGAAUUCCUAGUGUAGCGGUGAAAUGCGUAGAUAUUAGGAAGAACACCAGUGGCGAAGGCGAUCUACUGGACAGUAACUGACGCUGAGGCGCGAAAGCGUGGGGAGCAAACAGGAUUAGAUACCCUGGUA